rnacentral:rRNA from 1 species
UACGAAGGGGGCUAGCGUUGCUCGGAAUCACUGGGCGUAAAGGGUGCGUAGGCGGGGCUUUAAGUCAGGGGUGAAAUCCUGGAGCUCAACUCCAGAACUGCCUUUGAUACUGAGGAUCUUGAGUUCGGGAGAGGUGAGUGGAACUGCGAGUGUAGAGGUGAAAUUCGUAGAUAUUCGCAAGAACACCAGUGGCGAAGGCGGCUCACUGGCCCGUUACUGACGCUGAGGCACGAAAGCGUGGGGAGCAAACAGG